AAAAAGCAAUUGUGAACGGUCUUUCACCCCCUUAAAAAGAUGAUUGAUUGAUGUGUGUGUGUGUGUGUGUGUGUGUGUGUUUGUUUGUUUGUUUGUUUGUUUGUUUGUUUGUUUGUUUGUUUGUUUGUGUAAGGGGUCUAUAGUAUUGUGUUACCGGAGAAGUUUCAUGUUUAGUUUGGAAAGUGUUUCUUUUAUUUUAGGUACAGCGCGCGCGACAUCACGUGACACGGGUUUAUAAUAACGAAAACUUAGUCUUUUUAUUUCUUUUUAGGUGGGGACGUUGAACAGACAACAUGUAUAGAGACGGAAUGCACACAAUGUAAUUUCUUUUGUCAUUGUAGGAAAUUGACAUUUUGAUCACAGGUCACGGGCAGUGCAUGUUUUGGAUUUAAUCGAUCCGGUGUAACUUUAAAACACAUUUAAUGAUUAUUUUCUGAUAAUGUACAUUUUUCAGCACCUGUUUGUAACACAGAUUAGUAUUUCAAUCUCGGAGCGGACAUUUUAUUGUAGGUUUUUACUGAGAUUUACGGACCUAGCAAGCGAUUUUUACGGCAUUGCCAUUUCUUUUCUCUAGGAAAAGUC
rnacentral:lncRNA from 1 species